AGUGAACGCUGGCGGUAGGCUUAACACAUGCAAGUCGAACGGCAGCACAGUGAGAGCUUGCUCUUACGGGUGGCGAGUGGCGGACGGGUGAGGAAUAAAUCGGAAUCUACUUUUUCGUGGGGGAUAACGUAGGGAAACUUACGCUAAUACCGCAUACGACCUACGGGUGAAAGCAGGGGAUCUUCGGACCUUGCGCGAUUGAAUGAGCCGAUGUCGGAUUAGCUAGUUGGCGGGGUAACGGCCCACCAAGGCGACGAUCCGUAGCUGGUCUGAGAGGAUGCUCAGCCACACGGGAACUGAGACACGGUCCAGACUCCGAGGGGAGGCAGCAGUGGGGAAUAUGGGACAAGGGGCGAAAGCCUGAUCCAGCCAUACCGCGGGGGUGAAGAAGGCCUUCGGGUUGUAAAGCCCUUUUGUUGGGAAAGAAAAGCAGCAGGUUAAUACCCCGCUGUUCUGACGGUACCCAAAGAAGAAGCACCGGCGAACUUCGU
rnacentral:rRNA from 1 species